rnacentral:misc_RNA from 1 species
GGCCUUGAGGAAAGUAGACAACAUGUGUUCCAGCAACAGGCAAGUUCACCAGAGGUCCGGCGCAAGCUUGCCAUAGCUCUGGAUUUAAGUUCUUCUUCUCUCCUUCAGCUGGAUUAACAUUGCCACCACCGGCACCAUUUCCCGGCGUCUUCAUAUUCCCUUAUUCCGGCGAGCUGUAACAGAGCACCCACAACUUAUAAACCUACCGGAGAUUCAUCAGAGUUACAGAACUCAAUA